rnacentral:lncRNA from 1 species
CCAGGAGGCCGGCUUCUCGACAGGCAUCCACCAGCGGCGAGGCCUGGACAUCAAGCUCAAUCCCAACAAUGAGCCCAACCCCACGUACUUCUUUCACAUGUGGGUUAUGUCCCAACUUCUGGGUUAAAAUUUGUUUCAGGUAUUGGCCCUUCUUGGCGACACUGGCCAAGAAGCUGGGUUCUGAGAUUUUUUUUAAGGACAGCAAGAGCAGCGUUGCAGACAAGGGGGCUGCCAGCAAAAGUGCUUCCAUGGUCACCGAAGUUUACGGCAGAAGCAACUUGUUCGGUAACCAGUACAGCACCAAUAGGUAGGCCUCCAGCAAGAGGCUUGGCAAGUGUCAUUAUGUCAGGGAAUACACCAUAGGACUCAUGAGCCCAGAGGUGCCCAGUUCGGCCUAGACCACAUUGAACCUAUAGAACAGGAUCAGAACAUGAUCAAGAUAGGAAAAUUGAACAAAUAAUUAGAGGACAAGAAGUAUGAAUUUGGCUUAAAACAGAAGGUUCUGCUGUUGGAGCUACAAACAAGAUGAAACAGAUUUAUUCACACGGAAUAAAUCUCAAAUGAAGUCUCAUUGCCUUUGGCCACUUCUGCUUUUCAGACACAGAAUCCUCUACCGUUUUUCAUUCUAGUUGGGAUUCAGCAAACAAUGCAGUGUGCUUUUAUGUAUUAAUUCCCUAACUGCAUGAUAAAUGGAAACUGGAUUCUGACAACAGCUUGUUUUUUAUUUCAAUUCAUAUUUGGUGUGGGAAUUGGAGUUAUAUAGGAAGAAAAAAGCACCUUCACCUCACUCAUUUAAACAUAAAAGCAAUAAUGGCGAUUUAGGGAUUCAUCUAUAGAAUUCCUAUCUUUUUUGUAUCUUUUCGUGCAGCAAGUAUUUUAAUUUUUCUUUUUUCCUUUUUAAUUUCUUAUGGGGUUGGGAGUGCAAACAAUUCUUCCUAGUCUAGUCAUCAUCCCAAUAUCUUCUGGAAAACAUUAUUCAUUAACGAAGUAGUGAAGCAGAAAGUUUUUACCUGAAAUGAGUUGAGGCCUAGCAGUUAAGUGGACAUCUAAAGAAGGUAAACCAAGAGACACCAGAUUGAGGCAAAUACCCAAUAUGCGCACCGAACUUAAAAUCUAUGAAAUCAAAUAUAAGGGGAUUGAAAAACGACUUUCACAGAUAUUAUUUUCUGAUAUAAUACAGUAGGUUUUAGGAAAAUCCGACCAUAAAAUAAAAUCCUUGCAUGCAUGUACUGAAAAAAUUAUCUGCAAUUUGGCUAUUUCCAAUCGAGCAAUAUAGGCAACAUGAUUGAACAUAUAGGACCAGUUUGAGUAACUAUAUUUCAUCACUGAAAUGUUUAUUGCCUCAUCGAAAACAAGGAGAGCCCCAGCAUCAUCACAAGCACUUCGCAAAAAUUGUAAAAAUUCCUUUGUUGCACUGUAUAUACCCCCUUCUCCCUGGAUGCGUUCCACCUGCAGCAAAAUCGCUACUGCUUAACAAACAGAGGAAAGCUUUCGUGCACCAAUUUAAGAAGAAGGCCUCACAGCAAAUGGAGGAUAUAAAAAAGAGGAGUCGAAUAUUAUGUUACAGUCGGGAGUAGGGGUCUCCAAAAAGCCCGCGGCCCGCGGCCCGCUUUAGGCCCGGCCCGGCCCGAGCUCGUUUAUGGGCGGGCCGGGCCGCGGGCCUAAAUUUAGGCCCGGCCUGGCCCGUAGGCCCGCCCUUAGGCCCGGCCUGGCCCGUAGGCCCGCCCUUAGGCCCGGCCCGUAGGCCCGCCCUUAGGCCCGCCCAUUUAAAAAAAAAAACUACAAAAAUAAAAAGUAUUAAAAAAAAUAUUCAUUUCAAAAUUUUAUUCAUUGAAUGUAUAAUUACAUUUAAAAAUGUGGGAAAAUUUUACAUCACUACAAAAUAAAUACAUCCCAACUAGGUUGGCACCUAUUUAUUUGUCAAUCAUUUGUAUUUUUCAACCACAAAAAAUAAAAAUAAAAAUAUAAUAUACAUUUAGUCAUUAUUUUCUGGCGGUGAUGGCGAACUAUCAUGCAUCCAUGAAGAUCUUGAUAGUUUUAAAGAUUCCAUAUCGGCAAGCAUCUCUGUUUCUCGAAUGGAAUCGUACAUCCUUUUUUCUGCAAUUUCCCAAUCUUUUACACAUAUCCCUGCUUCAAUAACGUCUGGCGCUAAGUUGCAUCGUUUUUUACUAAUAACUCUUCCACCUGCACUAAAAGCAGCUUCUGAUGCAACUGUACUCACAGGAACUGUUAGUACAUCACGAGCAAUUAUAGAAAGCACAGGAUAUUUGUGUUGAUGUGAUUUCCACCAUAUUAAAAUAUCAAAAUCUUCUUGAUCUUCAAAUGGAAUUAUAUCAGUAUUAAGAUAUUUAUCUAAAUCAGAUGUAUUAUUUGGAGAACUAUUUGUUGUCUUUUUUCGACUUUUCAACAUUUCUAGAGCUCCUUUAUAAAAAGAUGAGGAGUUUGUAGAUGUAGGUGGUAAUUUAUUAGUAUUAAUAUCAUUACCAUAUUUUUCUUUAUAAUAGUUAUAUAAAUUAUAUAAUAAUGAAUUUAUUUCAUUUUUAAUUUCUUCAAUUUUUAUUUGGUCAUUAAAAUAAAUAAUUGUUAACCAUUCAUCCAAAGCUUCAAAUUUCAAUCUAGGGUCCACAAUUAAAGCAAUAUAAAAAAUUAAAGGUAUUUCUCCCCAAUAUUUUCUAAAUUUUUCUAUCAUUGCAAAUAUUGUAUCAUUAAAUAUUUCAAAACUUAAAUAUUUUUGAAGUACAAUAAAAAUAUUAGUUAUUUGCAUAAUAACUCGAUUUGAAGUUGGAUAAUAUACACCACAAAAAAUGUUUGUUGAAGUAUCAAAAAUUUCAAAAAGAUCUCUUAAAAGAUCCGCAACAUGCCAAUCAUAAUCACUUAAUGUAUAAAUAUCUGCAUCAGAAUCAUUGUUAAGUAAUUGUAUUUCAUAUAAUUCGACUACUUUUCUAUAUUUUGUAAUAUUUUGUAAAAGUUUAUAUGUGGAAUUCCAUCUAAUGGCCAUAUCCAAAUUUAUAUUUUUUCUUUUCAUAUUUAACAUUUUGCAACAAUAAAAAAAUAAUUCAUGUUUUGCUUGAGAACUAUUAAUACUAUAUGCAAUGCCUCUAAUUUUUUCCAAUGUAUCAUCAACAUUUUUUAAUCCAUCCUUUACAAUUAAAUUUAAAAUAUGUGCACAACAACGCACAUGAAAUAUUUUAGCAUGAUCAUCUUUUACUUGCCAAUAUAGUUUUAGUCUAUUUAUUGUUGCAUCAUUAUUAGCAGCAUUAUCUAAUGUUACUGUCAAUAUUUUAUCACGAAGGCCUAAAUUUAUAAUUUCUUCAUUUAUUAAAGUUGCUAUAUUUUUACCACUAUGUGGAGCAUUUAUUAAUUUAAAUGAAAUUAUUCUUUUAUUUAAUUUCCAUUCAUUAUCAAUGUAAUGAGCAGUUAUACAUAAAAAACCAGUGUGAGUUAAAGAUGUCCAAAUAUCAGAUGUUAAACAAAUAUUUCCUUCAAAAUUUGCAAAAAAAAUUUUUAAAAUUUCUUUUUAUGUAUAAAAUUUUUUCAUAAUAUCUCUUUUAACUAUAUUUCCAGACCAACCUUUAAAUUGAGGAUUAAUACCUCGUUGAAUUGUUCCUACAAAAUCAUGAGUUUCCAUCAUGUUAAAAGGUUGUUCUGCUCUUAUUAUAUAAUCAAUCAUUUCUUCACGACAGUUAGAUUCAUCAUAAGAAAAUGUUUUUAAAUUUCCACUUUCAUUUUUACCUAAUUGCAUAUAAUUUCUAAUAUCUACAUUAUUUUUAGUUUUACAAUUUUCGUGAUGUCUUUUUAAAUGACUUGUGCCUGCAUUUGAGCCACCAGUAAGAAAUUUAUUACAAAUUUUACAUUUUGCUUUUAUUUCUUUUUUAUUAUUUUCUAAAAUUAUUUCUACUCUAUCAAAAAAAUUCCAUAUAUUUGAAGUAAAUUUUUUGUUUGAUGAUAUUUCAUCACAUGGACUAGAUGAAGAAGCACUUGUUAUCAUAUUAUAAUUAUUGAUAAAAUAUUAUGCCAAAAAUAAUAAAGUAAUAAAUAUAAAAAAAAAUGUAACAAAAAAAUAAAGUAGUAGGGGUGAAGUAUGUUACUCAAUUAGAGAACCGAUGCAGAAAUUCCUAGCAAAUUUGAACUCUUGGAGCCACCAAUGCUUGUUUUGCACCACCAACAAUAUUGUAUAAUUUGAGGGAAAAAUAAAAGAAUUUGAAAUAUUGUAGAAUGUGAGAGAAAUAGAGAGAGAAAUAGAGAGAAUUUGAUGAAAAAAUGAAAAGGGAGAAGAUGUAUUUAUAGGAAGGUUUUUUUUUUAAAAAAAAAAAAAAAAAAAAAAAAAAAAUUGGCCAUGUGACCGUUGCCCAACGGUCACAUGGCAGCUAGGAGCAUGGAUUGGAGCUCCAACGGUCACAUGACCGUUGGAGCCUUUAAUUUUUUUUAAAAAAAUAAUAUACUUUAUGUUAUAUAUAUAUAACUAACUCUAACAUUUAACACAAAAGUAAUGUGGCUCAGUUGGUUAGAGCCUUUACUUUGAACCAUGAGGGGAGGGGUUCGAAUCCCCCCCUCUCCAUUCAUUUCUAAAGCCAUUUUGGCUUAUUUAAAAAAGCCCAAGGCUUGGCCCGCCAGCCCGCCCCCAGCCCGGCCCGCUGGCCCGGCCCGCUGCCCGCCCCCAGCCCGCCCCGCCCAGCCCGUGGGCCGAAGAUUUUUCCCUGGCCCGGCCCGGCCCGCCCGUUGGAGACCCCUAGGUCGGGAGCAAUUUUUAUCGUCGACAUAGUUGUUAUUUGCAACGAAUAUGUUUCCUGCUAUAGUGAAUAAAGCCCCACUAUUUAGGCUAAUAAUAACUUGAUGGUAUUGCCAGUAUUUUGGGUAUUCACUUAGAAUUUUUAAAUAUACAAAUAAAGAAAAUCAAUGCAUCAGAAUAGUGCACUUUACCAGGCAUUGACAAAAUAAAUGAUCACAAGUUGUUCUUUUGUUUACAUAAUUAUGAUUAGGAUGACUUAUGCACCCCUAUCUUGGCAAGCUUUACAGGGCUAAGUACUGAACAUAAUCAGGACUGGACAACACUUUUUCAUGGAACGCACUUAUGUUCUUGAGCACCCUAGGACGCCAAAUUAUGAACAUAAGGAAGGUAAAUCUCUUGCCAUCACCCAUCACUAGUUUUCCACAUCAAUUCGCUCAUCUAUGUGCUCAUCAUUAGAAUCACCCAGACAAUUACUCUUACACAGGGAUUUCUAUUGUGGGACAGUUUUAGCAACUGAAACUCGAGCUUCCUUUCAAUACAAAAGUGUUGAAUCCAUAUUUAUCAUCAUCUUCAAGUUUUAUGGCACAGGCUGACAAGAGACUAAUGAAAGUAAAACAAAAGCUUUGACAAGAUAAUCAGAGCUCGGAGCGCAAGUUUGUAGACAUGGAAGCUCAUGUGCAGUGGAAAAGAUGAAAAUGGCUGGUGAAGAUCCAACAAUGCACUAAUUGAGGCUUGUGGGAUUGGAGAAGAUUGUCGCAUCUUCCUUUGAGCUUCUGCAUUUUGGAUUUCGUGGAGAUUAAGGGAUAGUUUCCUGGAAAAGGAGGUUGGAGAGAAAUACUUGAUGUUGUCAAACAAUAUUUACAAAUAAAAUCUAUUUUUGCAUUUUUCUACAAGAAUUUUACCUGGCAGUUGUGCAUAAUGGUUUGAUCCUCCCACUCCGAAGUGCGAACGAAUCUAAUGAAGUAUGUACAGUGAGAAAUCAGAGAGAAACUAAAUAUAAUUAAAAUACAUGAAAAGUUAAAAUAAUAUUCCAAAUAGAAAAUAGAAUAAUAUCUUGAGAGGCCGACUCAAACAAUCACAAUGCACAUUUGGGCUUGGCCAUAUUUAUAAUAUGAAAUUUUUUAAAUACAAUUAUGUAUAUAUAUAAAACGAAGAAAAAGAAGGAAUUACUUGUAAUGAGACGAAUCGGAUUGAAAAUAUGGAGUGAGUUUGUGCAUAAUGGUUUGAUCCUCCCACUCCAAUUCAUCCCACCAUUCUUGUUCUCCCUUGAUUUUCUCCAAUUUCUUGCUCACUCCAAUAUUGGAAUCAAAUGGCAGCUUCCUCAAACUUGGACAUUGAAACACACAGAUGUAUCUUAAAGAUGGAAAAGUUAGGGCACGUCCAUGUAUACUUCUUAGCUCUGGUAAACAAAACAAAGCGAGAGAUCUGAGUCUCGAGAAUACGCCCAAAUGAUCUACUGCAAUUUCUAAUAUUUCACUCCUUUCAUCAUCUAUCACUUUUUCCAUUGAUUCACAUGCUGAAACACUUAGAAAUUGAAGGCUUGGAGCAAAAAUAAGCCAUGUCAAAUUCAACAGUUCACCACAUCCAGAUAUGUAGACAUCACAAAGGUUGUUCAAGCAUUGGUGCCUUGGGAAUUUUGAGUAGACCACCACUUCCUUUUCAAAAUUGAUUUUCACAUCUUGCAAUUCAAAACAAUUUAUAAUACGGAGUGUCUCUAUAUAAAGGGAUAGUUGGACCAGUUUCACAUGCUCACAAGCUAAUUGUAGCCAUCUUAUGGAUCUUUGCAACUUGUGGGAGUUUAAUAAUGUUUGGAUGGAUGAUACAUUUGUAAGGUCGAUGGAUAUAUCAUCAAUGUGUUCCAACUGCUCUAACUCUUCUAAUAACCUUCUUUCAUAAUCUCCCAUAUAGUAUGAGUUUGCAGUGUCAUAACUACUAAACAAUUGCAAAGAGGAAAGACUCGAUACCAUUUGAGAUGGAAGUGGCUUAAGAAAAUACAUAUUUUUCAAUAUCAAGCACCUUAAUUUUUUCAAGUUCUUGAGCUCCAUAGGUAAGUAUUGAAUACUUGUCCUCGACAAAUUAAGAUAUUGCAAGGUAACUAAGUCUCCAAUCUCCUCAGGUAACUCCUUAAGUUCAAAAUUGUUUGACAAGUCCAAAACUCUUAUGAUAGGCAUGUUUGUAAAGAAUCUAUUUGGAAAGAAUCUAUUUGGAAAGAAUCGAAUAAACUUACAUGAUGCCAAAAAGGUCUCCAUAUUAGGGAAAUAUGGUGGUUCCCUGAGUUCUUCAAUGUUGGAAUCCCACAAUGAUAUCCUUUGUGUCUUUUUCCAUUUUUCAACUUCCUGAGCUCUAAUCGAUUCAACUCCAUCUUUUACCACAAAUUUGUUCUUCUUCUUCCCGUUUUCGCCAGCCAACCACAAAGCCAUAUCACGAAUAACAUCAUGCAUCUUCAAAUAUUCGUCUUUUUCACCUUCUUCAUUUACGGGAGAUAUGACAUUUUCCAAUAAACAUGCAAGCUGUAAACUUUUAAUAACUUCUUCUCCUUGAUUUCUUGCUUCUUGUAUGUUGUCAUAUUCAUCCAGAAAACCCUCCCCGAUCCAAAGUUGUAUAAGUUUUCGAUGAGAGAUUUCAUAAUCCUCCGGAAAUAAAGAGCAAUAUAGGAAACACGAUUUGAUGGCUUCAUCGGGCAGGCUAUCAUAACUGAUUGCUAAUACUCGAAACAAAUCCUCCUCUGUACCUGGAAACUUUGCUGGAUAAUUCUUCAACAUUUGUAUUUUUUUCUCCCAUUCCUCGGGUGUUUUUGCUCCCGCCAUUGCUCGCCCUGUGGUGAUGAGGGCAAGUGGUAAGCCGUCACACUCUUUGGCAACCAUCUCCGCCAGCUUUGGUAUAUCUGGAUGAGAACUUAUAGUGUCUGCUCCUACCUUGGUCUGAAACAGAGCAAAAGCAUCCUCCCAUGGGAGGCAAUUCACUUCAAUGCUCUUGGUAGCUUCCAUCUUUUGGCAUACUUGUUUAGAUCGCGUUGUAAAUACCAUCUUCAACUUAUCUUGAUGAUUCAGAGGAGGAAUACCAACUUUGGAUAGAUCCAGCCGCUCCCAUAUGUCAUCUAACAAGAGCACAAAUUUCUUUGUCUUCAGGACAUUGAAUAUUUCUUCUGCCCUUUCAUCCUCACUCCUACCUUCCCAUUUAUCUUUGGGAAUCUCCAAUUUAUUGAAAAGAACUUGCUGAACCUUUUCCACAUUGGCUGGUCUGGACACAGUCACCCAAAUCACUGCAUCAAAUUCAACCCUGGUUUUGUGGAGCUCAUUGUUGGUCCUGGUCAAGAGGGUGGUUUUGCCCACACCCCCCAUUCCAUAUAAUCCGAUACUGCUUACCUUCUCUCCAUCAUCUUGGAGCCAUUUCCAGACCUUCCCAAACAACAAAUCUUGGCCCACAGUCUUGUCCAGCUGCCUCUCGAUCACGGGAGGAAUAGGCAAAGGUUCAGCAACUACACUGAAAUUUGAGCCCUCCCUCUUCUUUACCGUCACAGCAUCCAUCUUUUCAAGUACCAUCUUGCCAAGCUUAUAGCUAGCGCCACAGUUUUUAGGACAACAGGUUCCGAGACAUUUCUUCUGGAUUUCUUCAUCACCUUUUGCCAAUAUUUCCUGCACUUCUUUUUCCAUGGCUUCUACUCCGCGGAGCCAGCCAUCAACUACACGAAGACGCUUCUUCUGACGUUUCUCUUCACGUUCCACCCUUUCCUUCACAUCUUCGUACAGGUUCUUGAGUUCCUCCAUUUCAGUUCUCAAAGAGUUGAGAUUUUGUGGGAGAUGACGGAUGUAAACAGCACGCUUAGCAGUGCAAUCCCACAAGCGAGUGGCGACAUCCAGGAUGGGGCUUACACAAUCCAUGGAGAAAACAGGUGAUGGAUUGGAGUUGGAGAGGUGGAGAGAAGAUGAGGAAGGAGAAAAGUAAUAGUGGAGUAUCACCUCUCUUUUUCCAAGUAAAAGACUGAAAAAUCAGUGCCGGCCGGAGAUUGUGGUUGGAGCCUACGAUGAAUGCUAUAAAAAAAUUCAUAAUCUGUAGAUAAUACCAAUAAAUAAUGUCAUUGUCUUCUAUGUACAGACUGUGUAAAGGUUAAUAAAAGACUCACCACUUAUGAUACAUUGUGGUUGUAUUUUUUUCUUUUUAUUAUAUUUAUUUAAAUUUUAAUGGUAUUGUAUUUUUUUUUUAAAUGUUCAUAAUAGGAACCCUAAAUUUUCUUUUUUCUCUUUAAAUCGUUAGAAUUUCACAUGGCAUCAUAGCAAAAUUGAUUUUUUUAAUAAGACUUUUGAUUUAUAAUUUUAUAAAAAAGAGUUUAAUCUCAUACACUUGCAAACAAAGUUUGUUCAUAUCCGUUUGAUUGUAAAAUUCUCUUUUGUCGUUUUUAAUCAUAGGAUAUCAUAAUGGAUGAUUGUAUCAUUUUUUUUUCUUAUUUGAUCCGUAAUUGAAAUAAUUGUUCUAGUUAUAUUUUCUACUACUCCGCCCAUUUCAUAAAGUAUUCUUCCUACUUUUCUAGUUAUACGGAAUAUCCUUUCCCCGAACCAUACAUCUUUCUAUAGGUUGGAUGGUGAUCACUAGCUGAUAUAUUAUGAUAUCAUGUUAGUAUAUAAAAUUCAUUCAUUCAUUCAUUCAUUUACUUUUAAUUUUUACUAGGGAUAAAAUACAUUUAAUAGGAGAUAAAAUGCAUUUAAACUCAAACUUAUGUUUCAUGUAUUAUGCUUAAUUUUUUUUCCCUUUUUUUUUUAUUUCUUAUCCCUUUUUUUUUUUUUUUACGUCUUUCAAGAUCCAAAAGCAACAGUGUAUUAAAAUCGUAAAUCAAUGGAUAUAUAGUAAUAUAAUGGUUAUAAUAUAUUUACGUUAAUUAGAAGAAACUUCAAUGGUGUUUGUUUUUUUAUUAAAUAAGAAAAGUUAAAAUAUUUUAUUUCUUUUAUUUAGUUAAAAAUAAUUUAUUGAUAUCAAUUAAUAUAAUUAAAAUGAACUUCUUAUUCAUAAGUUCAAUCUAAUUAUAUUGAAUGAUAUCAACAGAUUACUAUUAAUGAAAAAAAAUCAAAUAUUUUAAUUUUUUCUAUUUAAUAAAAAAACAAAUAUUACUUUCUAAAUUAUAUGUGGUUUUGAAAUGUAUUAAAAAAAGAAAAAAUAUUAAGAAAAAUAAUUUCUUUAUGAUUGGUUGUAAAUUGAAAAAAAAAAUCAAAUAUAAUUAAAAUUAAUAAGAAACUAAUAUAUUUUAAAAUUAUUUAAUUUUAUAUAAAAAAAUUUAAAAUAAAUAAAACCAAUUUAAAAUAACAUAUAAAAAAUAAUUUAUUAACUUUAAAUUUAUUUUUUUAUUUUCAUUCACUUUUUCUUUCCUUCUAUUUUUUCUAUCUCUUUACUUUUUUUUUUUUUGAUAUUUUCUCUCAAUUUUUUCCAAACUAAAAAAUAGUCAUAAUUUUUUGUUUUUCCAAAUUUGCCUAAUUAUGAUCUAAUAUUGUGAAAGCAAAAUUUGCAUAUGGUGGGUGGAUAUCAUAUAAGCUUCACUAGUUACUUCAUCCACAUAUAAAAAUUAUUAAAAAAAUUAAUUGAAUAUGACUUAUCAAUUUUUGUGGAAAUUAAUAGCUGAAUUGACGAUCCAACAAGGGUUUUAGAAGUAUAUGGAAAUUUCUAAUAAACAUCCUUCAUUUUUCAUAAUAUUACGAGCAUGCCACUAAAAUUGUCCAGAAGUAAAUUCAACAUAAAAUUCCCAAAAAAAAAAAACGAAAAGGUCAAUCAGUAUUGGAACUACAAGACCCAAUGCCUGUCCCAAAACUAAGAAAAACAAGCCUAACCUUGGACUGAAGGCAGCAAUGCUCUUUCUUCUACUUUGAAUUGCUCCCAUCUACUUUGAAUUGCUCCCAUCAAGUGCUGGAAGAGACCCGGAAAGAACCUCAGCUGCCAACUCCAACUCCUCUUCUGUUAUGAUCAAUGGAGGCACCAGCCUCACAACAUUCCCCUUUCCAGAGGUGAGCACCAGAAGGCCAGCUUCUUGACAGGCAACCACCAGCGGCGAGGCCUGGACGUCAAGCUCAAUCCCAACAAUGAGCCCAAACCCACGUACUUCUUUCACAUGUGGGUUAUGUCCCAACUUCUGGGUUAAAAUUUGCUUCAGGUAUUGGCCCUUCUUGGCGACGCUGGCCAAGAAGCUGGGUUCUGAGAUUUUUUCAAGGACAGCAAGAGCAGCGUUGCAGACAAGGGGGCUGCCAGCAAAAGUGCUUCCAUGGUCACCAAAGUUUAUGGCAGAAGCAACUCGUUC